CAGUAGCCGCGGUAAUACGUAGGUGGCAAGCGUUGUCCGGAAUUAUUGGGCGUAAAGGGCUCGCAGGCGGUUUCUUAAGUCUGAUGUGAAAGCCCCCGGCUCAACCGGGGAGGGUCAUUGGAAACUGGAAAACUUGAGUGCAGAAGAGGAGAGUGGAAUUCCACGUGUAGCGGUGAAAUGCGUAGAGAUGUGGAGGAACACCAGUGGCGAAGGCGACUCUCUGGUCUGUAACUGACGCUGAGGAGCGAAAGCGUGGGGAGCGAACAGGAUUAGAUACCCGCGUAGUCCCUGUCUCUUAUAC
rnacentral:rRNA from 1 species